UGGGGAAUUUUGCGCAAUGGGGGAAACCCUGACGCAGCGACGCCGCGUGGAGGAUGAAGGUUUUCGGAUUGUAAACUCCUUUUGUAGGGGACAAUAAUGAUGGUACCCUAUGAAUAAGCCACGGCUAACUCUGUGCCAGCAGCCGCGGUAAGACAGAGGUGGCAAGCGUUGUUCGGAAUUACUGGGCUUAAAGGGCGCGUAGGUGGUGGCAUAAGUCCGAGGUGGAAGACUAAGGCUUAACCUUAGAAUUGCCUUGGAAACUGUAUCACUUGAGUCAGCGAGGGGAUGGCGGAAUUCCAGGUGUAGCGGUGAAAUGCGUAGAUAUCUGGAGGAAGGCCGGUGGCGAAGGCGGCCAUCUGGCGCUGAACUGACACUGAGGCGCGAAAGCGUGGGGAGCAAACAGGAUUAGAUACCCUGGUAGUCCACGCCCUAAAACGGUGGGUACUAGGUGUAGGGCUCGCAAGGGUUCUGUGCCGCAGGGAAACCAUUAAGUACCCCGCCUGGGGA
rnacentral:rRNA from 1 species